CAAUAGCGUAUAUUAAAGUUGUUGCAGUUAAAAAGCUCGUAGUUGGAUUUCUGGUCGGAAGCUCCUGUCCUCUGAUGAGCGUACAAGUGCGUCCUACCAUCCUUCUGUUAACCUUUAAGGCUUUCGCGGCUUUCUAGGGGCUCAGAUAUUUUACCUUGAGAAAAUUAGAGUGUUUCAGGCAGGCUAGCGCCGGAAUACAUUAGCAUGGAAUAAUGGAAUAGGACUUUUGCCUCUUCUGUUGGUCAUGAGGCUCGAGUAAUGAUUAAUAGGGAUAGUUGGGGGCAUUAGUACUUAACUGUCAGAGGUGAAAUUCUCGGAUUUGUUAAAGACUAACUUAUGUGAAAGCAUUUGCCAAGGAUGUUUUCAUUAA
rnacentral:rRNA from 1 species